rnacentral:rRNA from 1 species
UGCGUGAAUUAAUGUGAAUUGCAGAACACAUUGAACAUCGAUAUCUUGAACGCACAUGGCGGCCUCGGGUCCAUCCCGGGGCCACGUCCGUCUGAGGGUCGGCGACUAAAUCAAUCGAAGCUCGUCUUGUUUUCCACGACACUCGUCGGGCUGGAAAGCGGGCUCGCGCUGAACCGUCGAGGUUUCCACGCUCCACUCGGGCGGGGAUCCCCGUGGUUUCAAGUCCAAGCUGCGCCGUCGUCCUAUGUCCUCGAUGCUGCUUGUGCGGUUUCACCGCCUGGCAGGACUCGGCUCGUGUAAAAAGCGAGUUUCGGGCCUGUGUGGCACUGCUCUCGGGUGAAGCGGCAAGCGACGUCGUCAGCGACCGUGGUUCGGUGCCACUUUUUAGAAAAUCAAUUCAUAUCUCCGACCUCAGAUCGGGCGAGAUUACCCGCUGAAUUUAAGCAUAUAACUAAGCGGAGGAAAAGAAACUAACAAGGAUUCCCACAGUAACGGC